GAUGAAGAACGCAGCGAAAUGCGAUAAGUAGUGUGAAUUGCAGAAUUCAGUGAAUCAUCGAAUCUUUGAACGCACAUUGCGCCCCUUGGUAUCCCGAGGGGCAUGCCUGUUCGAGCGUCAUUUCACCACUCAAGCCUGGCUUGGUGUUGGGCGACGUCCCCUUUGGGGACGCGCCUCGAAACGCUCGGCGGCGUGGCACCGGCUUUAAGCGUAGCUGAAUCUUUCGCUUUGGAAGUCGGGGCCCCGUCUGCCGGAAGACCUACUCGCAAGGUUGACCUCGGAUCAGGCAGGGAUACCCGCUGAACUUAAGCAUAUCAAUAAGCGGAGGA
rnacentral:misc_RNA from 1 species